AUGAAAUCCAAUGAGAAAUUACUGAAACUGAAGCUACGUCCCCUGCCUGUAAUUCCUGUUGAACGGAACAGUAAGUACACUGGAAACACCCAAGUCCAUUAUCAAGGGCCCAGGAUCCCAGCGUGGACCAACGUGAAAGCAGCUUGUGGAGGUGACGACAGGCACCAGGAACCCAAACCUCAGGCAAAGCCUCACGACCAAACCUAUCGCUUCAGUCCCACCCUGUUGUUCCUCUCCUAUUCGCAAACACCUAAAUCCAUAAAUACUCACCGUGUAGCUUUGGAGUCAAGGCCAACCCCACGAGGCUCCCUGCCCAUCAGGUCCCCAGAUCUCGGCGCUGGCCGGAGCUGGGACAGGCAGCCUUGUAGGUCAAAUCGUCUGCAGAAAAGAGCUCAGGGCUGAGCUCUGAACAGCAGCACCCCUUCUUUCUGCUGAGUGCGGUGAAAAGUGGCCUGUGUGCCCACCGGGCUGAGGCCGCCCCCAUCCUGGGCACCACUAUCUGCCACACGCAGAUACCGCGCUGCCUCUGACAGACACCAAAGGGCCUCCUGACCCCGCGGUGGCCGCGCUAAGCCACUGUCUCCAGUGUCUCCACACAGCUUCGUUUGCCGGACGUCAGCGGUCUCUGGAAAUGCCUGGCUCUUUGGAGAGCAUGUGGGCCAUCACGUCUGCACUCCACCCUGGAGGAAGUCCACAGACGCCCCGGGGCCAGCCCUGUCCUGCAGGACUCCAGCCCCUGAGGCCUCCUUAAGGCCCACUGCGGCUUGCUUUGUGAGCACUGUCUCACCUCAGUCCUGCGCCUGGGUCCCGUCAGAACAACGGAGCCCCGAUCUCCACAGGUGAAUUCAAGGCUCUCCUGGCUCAGAACCAUUGGGUUAAUGUAUGAAGCCACUUAAUGUACAAUGUAAAAGCCCCAAAUGAGGGUGACUGUCAACAAACCCAUGCUGAAGUCAGGUGACCGUUUUGAAAUAGCAGCAUUUACUUCUGAGAAGAGAAUGUGAAUUGGGGGCAGCUUUUCACUGAAGAAAUGUGAGAUGGAGGGUUUGGAGAGGGAUCCUUUGGAGGAAAGAAUUGUUGGGGUCUCUCUGUAUGAAGCUCAAGUUGAAUCAAGACCCCUGGGAGUCAUAUCAAUAACCUCAGAUAUACAGAUGACACCAUUCUAAAGGCAGAAAGCAAAGAGAAACUAAAGAGCCUCUUGAUAAAGGUGAAAGAGG
rnacentral:lncRNA from 1 species